GAUGAACGCUGACAGAAUGCUUAACACAUGCAAGUCAACUUGAAUUUGGGUUUUUAACUUAGGUUUGGGUGGCGGACGGGUGAGUAACGCGUAAAGAACUUGCCUCACAGCUAGGGACAACAUUUGGAAACGAAUGCUAAUACCUAAUAUUAUGAUAAUAGGGCAUCCUAUAAUUAUGAAAGCUAUAAGCGCUGUGAGAGAGCUUUGCGUCCCAUUAGCUAGUUGGAGAGGUAACGGCUCACCAAGGCGAUGAUGGGUAGCCGGCCUGAGAGGGUGAUCGGCCACAAGGGGACUGAGACACGGCCCUUACUCCUACGGGAGGCAGCAGUGGGGAAUAUUGGACAAUGGAUCGAGAGUCUGAUCCAGCAAUUCUGUGUGCACGAUGAAGUUUUUCGGAAUGUAAAGUGCUUUCAGUUGGGAAGAAACAAAUGACGGUACCAACAGAAGAAGUGACGGCUAAAUACGUG
rnacentral:rRNA from 1 species